rnacentral:rRNA from 1 species
GAUGAACGCUGGCGGCGUGCCUAAUACAUGCAAGUCAAGCGAACAGACGAGGAGCUUGCUCCUCUGACGUUAGCGGCGGACGGGUGGGUAACACGUGGAUAACCUACCUAUAAGACUGGGAUAACUUCGGGAAACCGGAGCUAAUACCGGAUAAUAUAUUGAACCGCAUGGUUCAAUAGUGAAAGACGGUUUUGCUGUCACUUAUAGAUGGAUCCGCGCCGCAUUAGCUAGUUGGUAAGGUAACGGCUUACCAAGGCAACGAUGCGUAGCCGACCUGAGAGGGUGAUCGGCCACACUGGAACUGAGACACGGUCCAGACUCCUACGGGAGGCAGCAGUAGGGAAUCUUCCGCAAUGGGCGAAAGCCUGACGGAGCAACGCCGCGUGAGUGAUGAAGGUCUUCGGAUCGUAAAACUCUGUUAUUAGGGAAGAACAAAUGUGUAAGUAACUAUGCACGUCUUGACGGUACCUAAUCAGAAAGCCACGGCUAACUACGUG